rnacentral:lncRNA from 1 species
AGGUUCACAAGCACACCACUGUUUACACCCAUCUAGAAGGCCCCUCCCAGCUGACAUCUUUCUGCCUACCUUUCAGGAAGACAGACAAAACUCUCUGCCUUCAGGUGGGGCAAACUGCUGAUGGCUGGAACAGGAGCUUGGCACCUCCACCCUGACCCAGAUACAAGCCUGUCUGUCCCACUCAAAUCGAGCUGGCCAGAGACUACAACUGUGUUGGUUCCCAAGACAUAGAAAAGCCAGAAGAGGUCGGGCGCAGUGACUCACACCUGUCAGCACUUUGGGAAGCCGAGGCAGGCAGAUUACCUAAGGUCAAGAGUUCAAGACCAACCUGGCCAAUGUGGUGAAACCCCAUCUCUACUAAAAAUACAAAAAUUAGCUGGGUGUGAUGGUGCACCUACAGGCCCAGCUACUCGGGCGGCUGAGGCAGGAGAAUCGCUGGAAUCCAGGAGGCAGAGGUUGCAGUGAGCCGAUA